GCCGCUGCGCGCACACCGACACGCUGAGCGAGAGUGGGGGAGGCGUUGGGGGCUGAGAAGUAGGGGAGAAAGUUGCACCUCCUCUCGGGUGCUCCCUAGAGGCACGGAGACCACACCCCAUCCCUGUUGGCUUUACUGGGUCAAGCCUUGGGGUUGCAAGGUUUGAUCUUGAUUUGAUCUAACAAAAUGUCCAAUAUUCACUCACUGGCUUCUGAUUUUAGACCCAUAACCCAGGCUAACCACAGUGGAUCAGUGAAGACUGGGGGCCACACUACUAAACACCUGUAGAAGUCUGUAUCUGUCAACCCAGGAGAAAAAAAGGAAAUGCAGAGAAACUUCUCCAGGGAACAUGAAGAUGAAACGCAAUGAGGCAUCCUGGUGGAUGUUGGUGCUGCAGAGUCAAUCAGUGAAAAUGCUGGUGAAGGCAGGUUUUCAAAAGUCUGGGAUGGGUUAACAGUGUAGUACCCAUGUUUGUUUCUUGAUGUAAACAAAUUUACCAGAGGAGUAUAAGAUUGACAGGAGGGAAAACUAACAUGGAACAAGGGGUCUAUGGGGGUUCACUGUAUUAUCAUUGCAAGUUUCCCAUAAAUUUGCAAGU